UUGGAGGGCAAGUCUGGUGCCAGCAGCCGCGGUAAUUCCAGCUCCAAUAGCGUAUAUUAAAGUUGUUGCAGUUAAAAAGCUCGUAGUUGAAUUUCGGGAUCAGUAGGUUGGUCAUGCCAAUGGUAUGUACUGGCUUUACUGAUUCCUCCUUCUUGAUGAUCUGUAAUGUCAUUAAUUUGGUGUUGCAGGGAGUCAGGACUGUUACUUUGAAAAAAUUAGAGUGUUUAAAGCAGGCAUACGCUUGAAUACAUUAGCAUGGAAUAAUGAAAUAGGACGUUCGAUCCUAUUUUGUUGGUUUCUAGGAUUGACGUAAUGAUUAAUAGGGAUAGUUGGGGGCAUUAGUAUUCAAUUGUCAGAGGUGAAAUUCUUGGAUUUAUUGAAGACUAACUACUGCGAAAGCAUUUGCCAAGGAUGUUUUCAUUAAUCAAGAACGAAAGUUAGGGGAUCGAAGACGAUCAGAUACCGUCGUAGUCUUAACCAUAAACUAUGCCGACUAGGGAUCGGAUGAUGUUAUUUUUAAUGACUCAUUCGGCGCCUUACGGGAAAC
rnacentral:rRNA from 1 species